GGGGAAUUUUGGACAAUGGGCGCAAGCCUGAUCCAGCAAUGCCGCGUGCAGGAUGAAGGCCUUCGGGUUGUAAACUGCUUUUGUACGGAACGAAAAGCCUCUCUCUAAUACAGGGGGGUGAUAACGGUACCGUAAGCAUAAGCACCCGCAAAAUACGUGCCAGCAGCCGCGGUAAUACGUAGGGUGCAAGCGUUAAUCGGAAUUACUGGGCGUAAAGCGUGCGCAGGCGGUUUUGUAGACAGUGGUGAAAUCCCCGGGCUCAACCUGGGAACUGCCAUUGUGACUGCAAGGCUGGAGUGCGGCAGAGGGGGAUGGAAUUCCGCGUGUAGCAGUGAAAUGCGUAGAUAUGCGGAGGAACACCGAUGGCGAAGGCAAUCCCCUGGGCCUGCACUGACGCUCAUGCACGAAGGCGUGGGGAUCAAACA
rnacentral:rRNA from 1 species